GACGAACGCUGGCGGCGUGCUUAACACAUGCAAGUCGAACGGAAAGGCCCUGCUUUUGUGGGGUGCUCGAGUGGCGAACGGGUGAGUAACACGUGAGUAACCUGCCCUUGACUUUGGGAUAACUUCAGGAAACUGGGGCUAAUACCGGAUAGGAUCUCCUGCAGCAUGGUGGGGGUUGGAAAGUUUCGGCGGUUGGGGAUGGACUCGCGGCUUAUCAGCUUGUUGGUGGGGUAGUGGCUUACCAAGGCUUUGACUGGUAGCCGGCCUGAGAGGGUGACCGGCCACAUUGGGACUGAGAUACGGCCCAGACUCCUACGGGAGGCAGCAGUGGGGAAUAUUGCACAAUGGGCGGAAGCCUGAUGCAGCAACGCCGCGUGCGGGAUGACGGCCUUCGGGUUGUAAACCGCUUUCGCCUGUUACGAAGCGUGAGUGACGGUAAUGGGUAAAUAAGCACCGGCUAACUACGUG
rnacentral:rRNA from 1 species